CAGCUGACGAGUCCCAAAUAGGACGAAACGCGCGUCCUG
rfam:Schistosoma mansoni strain Puerto Rico chromosome 1, complete genome